rnacentral:rRNA from 1 species
UACAGAGGUGGCAAGCGUUGUUCGGAAUUACUGGGCGUAAAGGCGCGUAGGCGGCCUUCUAAGUCAGACGUGAAAUCCCCCGGCUUAACCUGGGAACUGCGUCUGAUACUGGGAGGCUUGAGUAUGGGAGAGGGAUGUAGAAUUCCAGGUGUAGCGGUGAAAUGCGUAGAUAUCUGGAGGAAUACCGGUGGCGAAGGCGGCAUCCUGGACCAUAACUGACGCUGAGGCGCGAAAGCUAGGGGAGCAAACGGG